rnacentral:lncRNA from 1 species
UAAACCAGGAAACAAAUAAACUUUAUUUAUAGACAUUCAAUAGGUUUAUCAGAAAUAACAACAUUAUUUAUAUAGGUUUAUCAUAAAAGAACAUUAAGUUGAAUGGGAAAUUAAAAUAUGAAUAUGACUUAGCAUCAUCUUCAUCUCAACUACUAUCUUCUUAUCACAUAUCGCUAUCACAUGUAUUAUGAAAAUAAGUUUGUCACUUCAUCUGCUAUCUUCAUCUCAAGUGUUAUAUGACAAAAACAAGGUCAUUCUAUAUGGAUUGCACCAUCUUUCAUCUUUUUUAAUAUUUCAAGCCUAAUAACCUUCAUAUUCACCUGUUUGCUCCAAUCCAGAAGCAAUCUCACGAGUAACAGGUUCUCAUAUCCAGUCGCACCUGCCAACAUAUACACAAAAUUUAUCUGAGAUACAAUUGUAGGUGAAAGGUGUAAUAGUUUAGAGGUAAUAUCAAGUCAAUUCUUCAAAUUUUAAAAUAAAAUGGAGCAAAUUCUAGUUGCACCAUGGGUGUUUAAUGGAGUUCAACAUCACUUAAUUGGCCUAAACAUUGAACUCAAUUAGUCAAGUAUGUUUGAAAACCUCAACAACUGAACUUAUUCCAUUAUUCGAUCAUAAGAAUCUAGCAGUUAAUUUUCCAAUAGCUUUAUGAUUUUGUUACAAAAUCCUAAUAACAUCUAACGUCCUCUAAUCAACUAAUAAUGAAGAAACAAUCCAUUUAGUCAUUGAUUCUCGGGCAUAGAUCCCUUUUCGGUUUCCAUGUAACAUUUUUCAAUCAUAAUUCAUACAUAAGUUACAGGACAAAACAGCCUAAUUUUCAUAGUAAAAAAUGUAAAUUAAUAACCAGUAUAAAUCAUAAGCACCUAACGAAGAGAAAACAUACUAUGUGCAUCUGAUCAACAAUCCAAUGCUCCAUUGAUGAAUCAUGGUAAUAAACAAUUCAUGCCAAUGAUGCCAUCUUAGUUUAGCCGCAUGUAUCAUCAAUCAGUCGAAUGCAAUUAAAUCCUUUCAAUUCUACCGAUUUACAAUAAUAAAUUUACAUAUACGUAUACAUAAAAAGCUCAAAUUACUGAAGAAGUGUGUGUGACUUAGAAAGAGAUACCUUAAAAGAAGGAAUGGAGCUCUCUCCACAGCUAUCACAUAAAACUCCAUCGAAGUCCAAGGCAUACAGAUAUCGCAUUUAUUUUUCUCUUUCUAAUCCAGUCGGUAGGAAAAGACGGGAGAAUUUGAACGCUUUGUUGUAGUCCAACAGAUUUCAAUUGAGAGCCUCAAUUUUUGCCUCUCUCCACAUCUACACUCCGUCCG